rnacentral:rRNA from 1 species
UACGGGGGGGGCAAGCGUUGUUCGGAAUUACUGGGCGUAAAGGGCUCGUAGGCGGCCAACUAAGUCAGACGUGAAAUCCCUGGGCUCAACCCAGGAACUGCGUCCGAUACUGGUUGGCUUGAAUCCGGGAGAGGGAUGUGGAAUUCCAGGUGUAGCGGUGAAAUGCGUAGAUAUCUGGAGGAACACCGGUGGCGAAGGCGACAUCCUGGACCGGUAUUGACGCUGAGGCGCGAAAGCCAGGGGAGCAAACGGG